GCUUGUCUUCCAAACACUCCUCAGACCAGCGUGUCUACCAAACCCUCCUCAGACCAGCGUGUCUACCAAACCCUCCUGAGACCAACGUGUCUACCAAACCUCCUCAGACCAGCGUGUCUACCAAACCCUCCUCAGACCAGCGUGUCUACCAAACCUCUUCAGACCACCGUGUCUACCAAACCCUCCUCAGACCAGUGUGUCUACCAAACCUCUUCAGACCAGCGUGUCUACCAAACCCUCUUCAGACCACGUGUCUACCAAACCUCUUCAGACCAGCGUGUCUACCAAACCCUCCUCAGACCAGCAUGUCUACAAACCACCUCAGACCAGCGUGUCUACCAAACCCUCCUCAGACCAGCUUGUCUACCAAACCCUCUUCAGACCAGCAUGUCUACAAACCACCUCAGACCAGCGUGUCUACCAAACCCUCCUCAGACCAGCAUGUCUACAAACCACCUCAGACCAGCGUGUCUACCAAACCUCUUCAGACCAGCGUGUCUACCAAACCCUCCUCAGACCAGCAUGUCUACCAAACCCUCUUCAGACCAGCGUGUCUACUGUCUGCCUAUCUAUCUAUCUAUCUAUCUAUCUGUCUAUCUAUUCCAUAAUAACAUUCCUCCAGUGAAAAAGUGUUCUUGUCUAAAUCAGGACAGAAAUCUGCACAGAUCAAGCAGCAUUUAAACAGCUCUAAACAAAUAUUUGAGAGACAACAUAGACUAUGUAUUAGAGUUAAAAACAUUUAUUUGUUUCAGCUUUUGUCUUUUCCAGAUGUUCACUGAUGGACUGGAGUGCUGUGGAUUAUUGUGAUGUUUUUAUCAGACUCUCAUUCUGACGGCACCCAUUCACUGCAGAGCAUCCAUUGAUGAGACACUGAUGCAGUGCUACAUUUCUACAAACCUGAUGAAGAAACAAACUCAUCCUGAUCUUGGAUGACCUGAAGGUGAACACAGCUUUAGCAUUUUUUUUAAAAAAAAGUCUUUCUUAUCAAACAGGUAUUUAAUGGGGUGUGGCCAAAAUAAGUCACAUGUUUGUCAUGUCAAA
rnacentral:lncRNA from 1 species